AUCGCUUCUCGGCCUUUUGGCUAAGAUCAAAGUGUAGUAUCUGUUCUUAUCAGCUUAUAUCUGAUACGAUCCCCAUGUGGGAUCUACGAUAUUAAACUGAUUUUUGGAAAAUGGCGAAGUGCUAGGGCUUGCUCCCCCUUUUGCCGCGGAUCGGCCCGGUAUUGCAGUACCUCCGGGAUUGUCCACUCCCC
rnacentral:snRNA from 1 species